UUCUUUCAAUAAGUCAGUAGAGAUGAGGUUGUUAAUUGACUGGAGCCAGACCCGUCUCAACAUUCCCCUAGGAAGAGGGAGGGAGGGGAAGGUGCUUAGUUCAUACCAAGAAAGCACUGGAUCACAUCAUCUUAAAACAUGCCCUGCUGCCUCUGGGACUGUUUUGAGGUUCAAUUAUGAUGACAAAAUUCUUCAAAUCCCUUUGACAGUCAAAGCCUGGGCCCAGGGCUAGUGGUGGUUUUGUGUAUUUCAUUUGUACAUACAGAAGUGGAAGAAAUAGCUCAUUCUCACACCCUGUUGGAGGCGUUGCUGGGACUAGAACCCAGGCCCUGAGCCCCAGCCUGGGGUAAAGUAUGUCUGGCUACGUGCCUAACUGCAUCACAUGUCUUGAGAUGCAACUGGCAUCUAAAGCAAGGGGGGCAGUCCUGAGGCACUGAACCCUAAACCUGGGAGAGCUGAUGCUUUCGGGGUAGAUAGUGUCAGAAUUAAACUGGAGGAUACCCAGCUGGUGUCCAUGGCAAAACUGAUUCCUUGCUUGGCAUGUGGGGAAAAAAAACCCACACAUUUGGUCACAGAAGUCUUCUGUCUUUAUUGUGUAGUGUGAGAGCAGAGGAAAAUCAGUUGUUGUUUUUUUACUCUCGCAAAGUGGCUCUGGACAAAUCAGACUAUGCUCUGGCCUUGGGGACGUCCAAUGAAGAGGAAAUCGGUAUUUGUGAAGAGUUAGGAGACGCCAGCCACAUGAGGGAACAGUGGACGCUUGUCUUUUCGGAAGGCCACACCUGUUUUUCUUUCCUGAAAAAGGAAAACUGGGUUUUUCCACUGUAUCUUUCCUGCACAGGCUUCUCUGGGGAUCUUCGUGCUCCUUCGCAACAAGGUUCUUGCCUUGUUGGAGACAAGGGACUCUAUAAAUGUUCCGCGGGACUUAGGAUCCCUCCCCAGAGAAGGCAGUGGGAGGCCUCCCUGCUCCUACCUCUGCCUCUUUUCAGGAUGGCCGUAGACACAGACUGACUCUUCUGCAGCAGGACAGGGGAGGCCACGUGGCCAAGUGGACGCCACCAUGGCGGAGGCCAGUGGGAGGCCUCUCUAGUUUCCAUUUCUCACCUCUGUUUUAAAAAUGCAUUUUCCCUCUUCAU
rnacentral:lncRNA from 1 species